UACAGAGGGUGCGAGCGUUGUUCGGAAUUAUUGGGCGUAAAGGGCGCGUAGGCGGUGCGGUAAGUCACCUGUGAAAUCUCCUGGCUCAACUGGGAGCUUGCAGGCGAAACUGCCGUGCUGGAGUGUGGGAGAGGUGCGUGGAAUUCGGUGUAGCGGUGAAAUGCGUAGAUAUCGGGAGGAACACCUGUGGCGAAAGCGGCGCACUGGACCACAACUGACGCUGAGGCGCGAAAGCAUGGGGAGCGAACAGG
rnacentral:rRNA from 1 species